UCUGUGUGACUGAAGGAGAUA
rnacentral:miRNA from 1 species